rnacentral:tRNA from 1 species
GGGGCGUUAGCUCAACUGGUGAGAGCAGUCGGCUCAUAACCGAUAGGUUGUAGGUUCGAGUCCUACACGCCCCACCA